GAAAUGCGAUAAGUAGUGUGAAUUGCAGAAUUCAGUGAAUCAUCGAAUCUUUGAACGCACAUUGCACUUCCUGGAAUUCCGGGAAGCAUGCCCGUUUCAGAAUCAUUAAUAACAUCUCACCAUCUCUGGUGGUGGACGAUGGACAGUUUGAGCUCUUUUCAAGUUCAAUUGUCUGAAAAUGAUUGUACACGCUCCGGCUGUUGUCAGCCAGCUCUGGAGGUGCAACAAGAUUAAUUUCUACUCACCUCUUGAGCUGUCUAUUGCAAUGUCGGUGUUGUGCACUCCUCCCCUAAAAGGCUAUCCCGCUUAGCUGGAUAGUCUGUUAACCUGGUCUGAAAUUGGGCAAGACAACCCGCUGAACUUAA
rnacentral:misc_RNA from 1 species